GCGCGCCGCGACCGCGCCGACCGGGUGAUGCCCCGGAAGCCCGGGCGGGCCGUCGCUGCGUCACGCUGCUCGCCCGCGGGCGCCCGCCCUUGCGCGCACGUCUUGGCGCCGGGUUGCCAGCGGUGUCCGGCUAGCAGGGACCGCCGCGGGGGGUGCAACCGUCGUCCUGAGCCGUCCGCCGCGUCCCGGGUGAGCGGGCAUGCAUGGCUUCGUCCUUGGGGAGAGCGUCGCGCUCCGGCAGGAUCGACCGGAU
rnacentral:rRNA from 1 species